UAAAGCUGUAGCACAAUGAAAGAGCAUCUGCUUUGUAUGCAGAAGGUCCCAGGUUCAAUCCCCGGCACUUCCAAA